rnacentral:rRNA from 1 species
GAUGAACGCUGGCGGUAUGCUUAACACAUGCAAGUCGAACGGUCUCUUCGGAGAUAGUGGCGGACGGGUGAGUAACGCGUGAGAAUCUACAUUCAGGUCGGGGACAACCACUGGAAACGGUGGCUAAUACCGGAUGUGCCGAAAGGUGAAAGGCUUGCCGCCUGAGAAUGAGCUCGCGUCUGAUUAGCUAGUAGGGGGUGUAAGAGACCACCUAGGCGACGAUCAGUAGCUGGUCUGAGAGGAUGAUCAGCCACACUGGGACUGAGACACGGCCCAGACUCCUACGGGAGGCAGCAGUGGGGAAUUUUCCGCAAUGGGCGAAAGCCUGACGGAGCAAUACCGCGUGAGGGAGGAAGGCUCUUGGGUUGUAAACCUCUUUUCUCAAGGAAGAAAAAAAUGACGGUACUUGAGGAAUAAGCAUCGGCUAACUCCGUGCCAGCCGCCGCCGUAAUAC